CAGCCAUUGUUAUUGUGUUUACAAUGUCGUUUUUGUCAAUCAGAUACGAUUUUACUCAAAUUUACACAUUAUUUGUCGGCGAUUUUCUGUAUAAAGCUAGCGGUUGAAAAAAAAAUGAAGCAUCGCUGUCAUGAAUAAUAAGGAUGAAAAUAAGUUUUUAGAUCGUUUAUUUGGAGACUUUGGUGAAAAGGUUUGCAAAGUUAUUUCUUAUUUUCU
rnacentral:lncRNA from 1 species